AUGGUGUGGUCGGUGUGCUCCUCUCUCUGUUCCUGUGGGUUCACAAUCCAGCACCACGUUUGUUCACCUCAGAGAGCUGGGACAGAGAGAAGAGCAGGAUGGUGUGGACCUGGUGUACACACAUACCAGAUGCUGUCUGUACCCUGCCCAGGCCACUUGGACCAGGCUUCCAGUGUAGUGGGAUUCCCACGCCCCAAACAGAUGUCAGCUGUUUUAUCCUCUUGCCUGGAAAAGGCAGAAGAGAGCCAUGUGGCUGCCCUGCUCAGCCCUCUUGCAGCCCCUAUCUCCCUGAUGGGAAGAGACACCUACAAGCACCAACCUGGUAGAACUUUGAAGCCACAUGAAUUUCAGAAAACUAAAAUUGCGACUGAUGAUUGUGAUGUCUUCACCGACAUAGCCCAUCAGGUCUCCCUAGAUCAAUCAAAGGAAUGGUUUGUUGAACCCUGAGCACUGGGCUAUGUUGGGAGACGGAGAGGAAAAGGGAACCAGAUCCUGCUUGCAAGGGCUUAUGGAAACACGCUUGUCAAGGCAACGACUAUGCACGACAAACCAAAGAAAACCGAAAGACAGUCUGGAAUCAAGAUCUCCUUGCCUGGAUUCUCAGCUGCCUCCCUCCCUGGGGUGUUGCCUUGUCUAGAGACCCAAGGAGAUAUCUAAAAAGCCAAAAAGAAGAGUAGUUGUUGAAAGGACACAGCUAUAAAAGACUUCUGUCCUCACAGGGAUCUCAUAAUAAUUCCCUCUUCACAGACUUCUCCAUUUAAGGUUUUCCAAUCAUGUUCUAAUCAUGUAUCACCAUUGCCCCAGUAAGAAAAGGGGGAACAUCUUCGUCUUGGUCUUACUGGUGAUUUACACAGGGCGUUGGGAUUCACAAUACCAGCUUUCCAGGAGCAUCUGUGCUCUGUUCUGAUUUGUGCAGGGAGCGGGGGAUGGGUGUGUGGGGGGGUCUGGCAGGCAGAAAACUUGUGAAGUAGAUGACUUCUGGUGGAAGCCACACAGGAAACUCCCCUUCCCAUUUUCUUUCCCCGGGUCUGACUCCCUAACAGAGGAAUGGUCCCAAGUCUUCCUAGUGGAAGCCUACUGCGUUACCCACCUUCUCAAAGAUGGCUGGUGGAGGGACACAUGCUGUUGAUCAACUCAGUAUUUCCUCUCUGUUCAGGGCCUCAAGGCCAACAGCCUGCAGAUGCUGUCUCUACCCUGGCUUAGUCUUUAAACCACACUGUCUGCUGUGCUCCAUGCCAUCAGCUCAUACUGCAGAGGAGCACACCAGAGGCUGGCAUCCUCUCCCAAGGCUGAGACGGUGCUGGAGUGGACACUAGCUGCCCAGCAGGAACAAUGUCUAUAUCCACAGGCUUUGCAGAUAUCCUGGAAUGUGAUAAUUUGGUGAGGGAAGGGGGUUGAGGGGGACGUGGUGUAGACCUGGCUCAAAGAAUGGAUUUGGUCAGGGAAAAAAAUCAACAGAGCAAAUGAAGGGCCCCAGUGUGUAGACAGCCGCAACUAAGGGCUGAAGGGAUCAAUAAAAACCAGUAGGAACUUAAUAUAAACCUGAAA
rnacentral:lncRNA from 1 species